AACGAACGCUGGCGGCGUGGAUAAGACAUGCAAGUCGAACGGAAUUACUUUUGUAGCAAUACAGAAGUAAUUCAGUGGCGAACGGGUGCGUAACACGUGGGCAAUCUGCCGAAAAGUGGGGGAUAGCUCGCCGAAAGGCGAAUUAAUACCGCAUGUGGUGAGGGACGACAUCUUCCUGAAUCCAAAGCCGGGGCAACCUGGCGCUUUUUGAGGAGCCCGCGGCCUAUCAGCUGUUGGUGAGGUAACGGCUCACCAAGGCUUUGACGGGUAGCUGGUCUGAGAGGACGACCAGUCACACUGGAACUGAGACACGGUCCAGACACCUACGGGUGGCAGCAGUCGAGAAUUUUUCUCAAUGGGGGAAACCCUGAAGGAGCGACGCCGCGUGGAGGAUGAAGGCUUUCGGGUUGUAAACUACCUGUCAUUUGUAGAACAAGUGCACCGGUUAACUGCGUGCAUUGAUAGUAUCAGAAGAGGAAGGGACGG
rnacentral:rRNA from 1 species